rnacentral:rRNA from 1 species
UACGUAGGGUGCGAGCGUUGUCCGGAAUUAUUGGGCGUAAAGAGCUCGUAGGCGGUUUGUCACGUCGGAUGUGAAAUCCCGGGGCUUAACUCCGGGCCUGCAUUCGAUACGGGCUGACUAGAGUUCGGCAGGGGAGACUGGAAUUCCAGGUGUAGCGGUGAAAUGCGUAGAUAUCUGGAGGAACACCGGUGGCGAAGGCGGCAUCCUGGACCAACACUGACGCUGAGGAGCGAAAGCCAGGGGAGCAAACGGG